GCGAUAUAAGAUAUUAUAAUGAUAAGGUGUUCUUAUGUUUUCUUUGUAGAACCAACAUAGAUUUUUUCAAUAUUUAUUGACGAUUGUUGAUCUUGAUUUUUUUUUCAUGUUUUGAUUUGUGAAUCGUUCGAUAUUAUCAUCCGAACUGUUUCUUCUCAUCAUUAAUCAUUGGAUUCCUAAUUCGUAUCACUACAACAACGUCAAUACACCAGAUCUGAAUAUGUUUCGUAUCUAGGGUUUGUCGUCUUCCAGCACAGAUCUUCCAAGGUGAUCUAAUGCUUCAUUAACAAGGUACUGACCUAAUCUUUAUAUUUUUUUAUGGUUAUGUUUUAUGAAGUCUGAUUAUUACUAUGGCAAGUUAAUCUACAUGUUGGAUUCAAACGCAAAGUCACUAAUAAAUGAGUUUUAACAAGGAUUACAUAUUUGCAUUUGUUUUGAUUUUGAAAUAUGCUAAAUAUGCACCGUGAUAUGCAUCUCUAUAUGAGUACAACACUCACGCAUUCCAACCAAAACAAUUUGUCAACGGACGAAGGUAAAUUAUUCAAGUAACCCUAUUAUUUGUUACCUUUGCGCUCAUUCUUCUUUUAAGGAUUUUCUCACCGAUGUAAUAUACUAAUAUGUGUAUCCUUUUAGUUGUAGGGUGAUUGCAUUUGUUAUGGCUCUUCUAGAUUCUUCAACAACAGAUAGGUUACUAUUGUUGUCUAAAUCCAAAGUGAGGUUGUAGAGACUUUCCGUGCAAAGAGGGCAAUAAAAAGUCCAGCUAUGCUGUUGGAUCUUCUGUUCAAGCGUAGAAAUAACAGGGUAUAUGCAAUAUGGGAUGUCACUGAUAGAAUUACAAUCGUUUCCACGAGGGAAAUGUAGGUUUAAAGAUCAACGAGGUGUCAUCGGUAAAUCCAGUAGUUGUUGCUCCAUUUUUGAAUUGGCCAAGGUCCAUCCUCCACAAUAAACACUGAAGCCAGACCCGAACUGAUGUGUAUGUUUAAGUGGCAGUGCAUAAUCCAGGUACCUGAGCAAAUAAAUAUUAUAUUGAGAAACAUGCAUACUAUUAGGCGCAUUUGCAUUUUAUCGAGUCAAUUCGUUUAAAAUGUUUAUUAAGUGGAAGUGAGACACGUCAAGUGGUUAGAACGGGUCAAAAGUUAUCAAAGUGUGUUUUUAUAGCAUAAGGCGCCUAAUGCUGGACUUUGUUUAACUUUAAACUCAUUUGACCCGUCCUCUUCUAUCAAUUUUUUUAUAUUGACCCGUUUAAGGUAACACAUCACCCAAAUCAACCCAUUCAUAAGUAAAAGGGUUGACCACAUGUAAUAGCUCUAAUAUUUUAUUUUAGGAUCAUAAAAUAUAAAUUUUUAUAUGGUAUGAUUUAAAUAUUUUAUUUUCAACACAUGUUGAAAUAAAUCAUACACAGUUAUAUAUAUUCAUGUAGAAUAGGCAUAACUAUAUUCAACACAUAUCAUAAAUCUCUACACUUUGCCUCAAAUGUGUAAAUAUAUAAAUUAGCUAAUGCAAAGGGCAUCCACGCAAUUAUAAUUGAUUUACUUAUCAAUGGGUUCACUUACAUUUUAUUUUCUUUUCUUUUUAAUGGGUCAAACGGGUAAAUAAUUAGCUAAAAAGGAAAUGUUUGUUCUAAUAAAAGGGUUAGUGUUAGGGCUAAACAGGUUAGCGCCAUAAGCAAGCCAACAGAGUUAGCAUGUUUGGUUAUUUUUGUUUGGGUUUUGUAGUUUUAAUUAUUAGGGUAUAUGGGGUGGGUGCGGGGAAUGAUGCGGUGAAUGAGUUUACCACUAGGGAACACUGCCGCCGACACCCAUAUCACCCGCGUGGGGAGUUGGAUUUCGGUGAUUAAUCACCGCACAAGGGGAGAUCAGGGAAAAGGAGAGAGAGAGGUGUAUAGUGGGCCCUACUCUGUUCCAACCAAUCACACAUUUUUCCUUUUCUUAAAAAAAUGGUUUGGGUGAACCACCCUUGUGAUUUAAGGGCAAGAGGGGAGUUGACACAACAAGAAAUCAUUGGGUAGGUGAGGACUUUACCUCUCUCCAAGAGGUGACCACCCCUUACACCCUUAUGUUAUCCAUUUAUAUUAUAGUUCUUGAUUUAUGAUCUUUUUAAUUCAAUAAGAAGUCUUUUCUUAAUAGACAAUAUUAGGGUUCAAGUAUUCAGCUCAUGGAUUAUAUUAGAAUGACAAUAAAGAUAAACCAAAAAUGAAGUAAAAAAUUAAUGGAUUGUCCUAAAGAUAAAGAUCUUUAUGAGUUUUUUGGUUAAUGAACUGGAACAAUGUUUUAAAAUCUGGUAUACCGUACCAGAUUUGGCUUAAAAGCGUUGGGCGUAUCGGGGGGUUCAAUCGGGUGUACCGGACGGUUUAACCAGUUCAACUGGUACAACCGGCCGGCUUGAACCGGUUUUAAAAACAUUGAAUUGGAAUAUAUCAUCUGUUCAAAUGCAGGGAGCCGAAAACUCUCUUCUACAGUUUCCACAAAUGACUGAUAAAGCUUUAUGGUGGGAUUUGUUCAUUUAUAAUAACUGUAACAAACAACUCUAUUUUAGAGUUCAAGAAUAUGGGUCCAUCCAAUUUAUUUAAUAGUUAAUUGGCACGGAAAGAAAAUAAUUAUUUUUGGAUUCAUCCAAAUAUUCAAUUACUAUUUGGGUGUUUACUGUUUAUUCGAUUUUUGAUUGGAUUAUAUGUGAAGGUAUUUGUUAGGGGUGGAUUCACCUAUGAUCAAUCAUCCUCAUUUACUGAUUGGAUCUGGUGAUCCUUGUUUCUGCUUCAGAUAGUGAUCCUCAGGAGGGUUGCAGGAUCAGGAUCAUGGAUUAUGGUAAGGAUCCUUAUUCUAACGAUUGUCUACUUUGAAUAUGUUGUUGUU